AUUGAACGCUGGCGGCAGGCCUAACACAUGCAAGUCGAGCGGAUGAAGGGAGCUUGCUCCUGGAUUCAGCGGCGGACGGGUGAGUAAUGCCUAGGAAUCUGCCUGGUAGUGGGGGAUAACGUCCGGAAACGGGCGCUAAUACCGCAUACGUACUGAGGGAGAAAGUGGGGGAUCUUCGGACCUCACGCUAUCAGAUGAGCCUAGGUCGGAUUAGCUAGUUGGUGGGGUAAAGGCCUACCAAGGCGACGAUCCGUAACUGGUCUGAGAGGAUGAUCAGUCACACUGGAACUGAGACACGGUCCAGACUCCUACGGGAGGCAGCAGUGGGGAAUAUUGGACAAUGGGCGAAAGCCUGAUCCAGCCAUGCCGCGUGUGUGAAGAAGGUCUUCGGAUUGUAAAGCACUUUAAGUUGGGAGGAAGGGCAGUAAGUUAAUACCUUGCUGUUUUGACGUUACCAACAGAAUAAGCACCGGCUAACUUCGUG
rnacentral:rRNA from 1 species